CUGGAUUAUAUGGUGCAGGGGUUCUCCCAGAUCACAGAGCUGUGAUAAAUCUUUCCUCAGGGGUAUGUGUCAGGGACAUGCUCCUAUGAAGACAAGGGACACAAUUCACACUCACGGCAGAGUCUCCUAAAGGAGAAUGAGUGUCCAGGACCCUCAGGGGUGGGGGGAGCCAUUAGCAAGAGGAACGGGCUCCUGGACACGUGGUUCCCUCAGACCUGCCCCACCUAGGUGGACUGAAUCUCCCUUCAGCACUGACCUGGUCUCCUGUGGCCGGGAAGAGGUGAGGACCUCCAGCAACUGAGGGCUGGGGAGAGAAGAUCUGCUCUGUGAGUCAGACAGUGGACAGUGGCUGGUGUCCCAGAUGCCAUGGUGGGGACAGGUGGUAGAACCUUCUGGUUCCCCUUGGUCAGUGGCUGUGCUUACCCGGGGUGGACAGUGUUGGCUGUCCUCACUGAGAAUGCUCUUACUUCUUGCUCUACAUAAAUGGGAGACAUUGUCACUGUUGUUUGCUUCCUGAGUUGGGGAGCACCUUGGGAGCCAGGAUAUGGUAGAGGACAAGUCACUUUACCUGCUAUGAGUUAGGAGGUAACUGACUACAAAUAUUAGCAUAAGCAGCUCCAAAUCCUUGCCUGUGGAAAGGAAAGGGGAUAUGCUAUCCACUCGGGCAGUCCUCGGACAGCUCUGAAGACAAGGGAGAGCCUGACAUGAAAUGGAAAAUUACAGGGUUCUUUGGAGAGUCAGUUGUGUUGGAUGGUGGUUUGUAGGGGCAAACACGUGAAGGAACAUUUACCUGAAGUGAACAC
rnacentral:lncRNA from 1 species